CAAGGCUUGACAUGCACGGGAAGCCACCAGAGAUGGUGGUCUCUUUGGACACUCGUGCACAGGUGGUGCAUGGUUGUCGUCAGCUCGUGUCGUGAGAUGUUGGGUUAAGUCCCGCAACGAGCGCAACCCUCGUCCCAUGUUGCCAGCGGGUUAUGCCGGGGACUCAUGGGAGACUGCCGGGGUCAACUCGGAGGAAGGUGGGGAUGACGUCAAAUCAUCAUGCCCCUUAUGUCUUGGGCUUCACGCAUGCUACAAUGGCCGGUACAAAGGGCUGCGAUACCGUAAGGUGGAGCGAAUCCCAAAAAGCCGGUCUCAGUUCGGAUUGGGGUCUGCAACUCGACCCCAUGAAGUCGGAGUCGCUAGUAAUCGCAGAUCAGCAACGCUGCGGUGAAUA
rnacentral:rRNA from 1 species